rnacentral:rRNA from 1 species
AUUGAACGCUGGCGGCAUGCUUUACACAUGCAAGUCGAACGGUAACAGGCCGCAAGGUGCUGACGAGUGGCGAACGGGUGAGUAAUGCAUCGGAACGUGCCCAGUCGUGGGGGAUAACUACUCGAAAGAGUAGCUAAUACCGCAUACGAUCUAUGUAUGAAAGCGGGGAGCGGCAGGGCUUGGCCGGUUUGAGGGGGCGAUGUAAGAUUAGGUAGGUGGGGGGGUAAAGGCGGACCAAGACAACGAUCUGUAACCCGUCUGAGGGGACGACCAGCCAAACUGGGAGUGAGACACGGCCCAGACUCCUACGGGAGGCAGCAGUGGGGAAUUUUGGGCAAUGGGCGCAAGCCUGAUCCAGCAAUGCCGCGUGAAGGAAGAAGGCGUUCGGGUUGUAAACUGCUGUUGUACGGAGCGAAGCGGCUCUGGUUAAUACCCGAGGCUAAUGACGGUACCGUAAGAAUAAGCACCGGCUAACUACGUG